rnacentral:rRNA from 1 species
GCAGUGAGGAAUAUUGCGCAAUGGGGGCAACCCUGACGCAGCAACGCCGCGUGUGGGAAGAAGGCUUUCGGGUUGUAAACCACUUUUGCCCGGGACGAAAGGGGGGACCUGAAUAAGGUUGCCCGAUGACGGUACCGGGAGAAUAAGCCACGGCUAACUCUGUGCCAGCAGCCGCGGUAAGACAGAGGUGGCAAGCGUUGUUCGGAGUUACUGGGCGUAAAGAGUCUGUAGGUGGUCUGUCAAGUCUUUGGUGAAAGCCCGUGGCUUACCCAUGGGAAUGCCAAAGAGACUGGCAGACUGGAGGCUGGGAGAGGGAAGCGGAAUUUCUGGUGUAGCGGUGAAAUGCGUAGAUAUCAGAAGGAAGCCCGGUGGCGAAGGCGGCUUCCUGGARCAGACCUGACACUGAGAGACGAAAGCGUGGGGAGCAAACAGGAUUAGAUACCCUGGUAGUCCACGCCCUAAACGAUGGGUACUAAGUGUGGGAGGGUUAAACCUCCCGUGCCGCAGCCAACGCAGUAAGUACCCCGCCUGGGGA